CCACCGUGGGACCAGUCUCCAAAUCAGGAACUUCCUCUAAUUCUGAGAGACCCUGAAAACAAGACAGGUGUGAAGCAAGCAAACUAUAAGGUACCUCCUGCAGCUCCUGGUAGUGCAGAUUCUGGCUCCAGCAGCAUCCUGGCUUCCUCUGGCUCAGCAGGAACAGGGAGUAUGCUGAGACCAGCACUCCGCCUAGGGUGAAGGCCUCAGCACUGAGCUCCAGCACCAGCAAACCGGCUAGCUGUAGGUAGAUAGGGCUGAGGGUGUGCUGCAGGGGACCCUGCACCUAUUUGCCCCUGCCCUUUCCCCUCCUCUGGCCUCCUCAUCCCCCCACAUUCUCCUUUAUUCACUUGUACCUGGGAGGGGACAGUUGGGGCAGACAUCAAGGCUGUCUUCGCCACUUCGACCACCAACGCGAUGAAGCCCAAGAUCAGAUUGAAGGUGUUGAACAGCAUCAUGGCGUGCACCUGCCAAGACGGGGUGCUCUGCGCAGCUCAAGGGUUACAAUCCCAGUGAGGAGACCCUGAAUGAUGAGAAAGGCAAGUGGUGAGCUCUGG